GUGAAAAAACUAUAGUGAAUAUUGCAUAUGAUACAAAAGAUAGUUAAUAUUUCUAAUGUUCUCAGUGUAUUCUUUUCGAGUGUUUGAGAUGAGAUUUUUAAUUUUGGUCUGAUAAUUAAGGUAACAAAGAUAAUCACCAUUUAUUUCAGGAGAUGGUGCUUUACUUUGCUAUAGUUCACGAAAAUCUGGCCUAAUUGAUGUUUUCCAUUUGAUACCAUAGUACUAUUAUGUUUUGGCACAUGUGGAUAAGUGUUAUAUCGCAUUAGUGAAUAGCAAUGUUUUUUUUAUUCAUGCAAUUAAUUGAUCAUUAACAAAUGUACUAUGAAGAGACAUUGCAUUGGCUGCGCAUGUUUGUUUGAGCUCAAUGGCGCAUGUUAGCCAGGGGUGAAAGUUAAACCUUGGACUGGCUGUUAAUAGUGUCCAAUAGCUACUGCUUGAUUAUCUGCAAAAUUUAGGAGGUAAUUUAUGAUUAUUACUACUGUAUGUUCCCUCUGAUGUUUAAUCACAAAUUUGGUGGUACGUAAUUUAAAAAUUAAUGAGACCAAUUUGGCUGCUCCUUAUGCUGAACCGCCAAUUCUUAUAUGCAUUGCAUGCCCACAAGGGCCUGGUCUAAUAUCUUAAUGAGGGUUGUUUCAUUCCUCACAGAACGUAGAUGCCUUUUAGUUUUAAAUGGACUAGAGAAAUGUUUAAAGUAACAAGGUUCACAUGGACCUAUAUUUUUCCUCUCAUUGGUCAUUGCGCAUGAAUAUGUUUAUUCAAGUCAGGUCUGCCAUGUGCUCUGCUUCCUGUCAAAGUUAAGUAUCCAUUCAUGUGCUUCUCUUUUGCCUUUUGAACCUUUGAACCUUGAAAAGUUGAUUUAUUAAUUUGUCUCAUGAUCAAUAGAUUCAGGUGGAUUCUAUAGCCAUAGCAACACAUCUUUUGUUUGAUACAGAUAUGGGGUUGGCAUGCCCAAACUUGUAAUGUGAAAACAUUACUGAACUGUUGGAGAAUUUAUUUAAUGUCGAUCUCUCCAUUGAUUCAUGAUGGGGAUGUCACAAACAUCUCUCUGAUUUCUUGAGUGUGCUUGAAAUGUGCGUGUGGAUAUGUCUUUAUUAGCUAAUCAUUCUUAUUGCAGGGAUUGAUGAUGCAAGUACCACGAGGAUUGAGGGCAGUGGUGAACUGGUGAUCAUUCAGACUCAGUCAUCAUUCAUCAAGAAAAGGCAGAAAAUGGGGCAGUUCUUCUGUCUCAUCUCAUGUAUUUACUUUAUUAUGACUUGUGAUUUAUGAUCUGUUAUAUUAUUGCAUUAUACAUAUACUCGCCAUUUCGCUGUUUUUUGAAAUCGCCGUAUCCCGUAUCGCCGACUCCAUAUCGCCGUAUCCGUGUUGCCGUAUCGGUACUUCAUAGCUUGGAGCAUAAGAAACUGGUGCACUUUUUAAAUUUAAUUUGAGAUUUUCCUUUCAUUCAUGCACUACUCUGAGUUGGAAUGUUCUCAAACUAUUACUCGCUUACGGAGAUCAGUUGGCUGCACCUUCAUGUAGCAGCAUAGCAGAUUAACACAUACAAGCACAAUUGACCAACCGAUAGAAUGUGUAUCUGGAAGUUGCUGGAACAUCUGAUACCUCUGUACCAUGGGGUAAAGCACACAGUACAGCUCUUUCAGUUUGCAGAUUGCAAGACCGAGAGGAUCCGUUUGAUGAGAGAAAUUGUAGUGAUAUGAGGAUUACGAUCGUAUGGUUAUGUAUGACAAUCGAAUAAGGGGAUUUUUAAACAUGUUUCUUCCAUAUGAAUUUUGAGGUCUUAA